GACGAACGCUGGCGGCGUGCCUAAUACAUGCAAGUCGAACGCUUCUUUCCUCCCUAGUGCCUCUACUCAAGUUGCAAGAGGAUGGGUGGACCGGAGAGUAACACGUUGGUAACCUACCCAUCCGAUGGGGAUAACACUUUGAUACCGCUGCUAAUACCGCAUUACAGUUUAUGCCGUAUAGCAUAAGAGUGACAGGCGCAUUCGGGUGUCGCUGGUGGAUUGACCCGCGGUGCAUUAGCUUGGUGGUGGGGUAACGGCUCCCCAAGGCAACGUUGCAUAGCGACCCGAAGAGGGUGAUCGGCCACACGGGGACUGGGACACGGCCCAGACUCUUACGGAAGGCAGCAGAGGGGAAUCUCCGGCAAGGGAGGAAAGUCGGACCGAGCAACGCCGCGUGGGUAAAAAGGGUUUUCGGAUCGUAAACCUCUUUUGUUAGGGAAGAACAAGGUCGGAAGGAACAGAACAUCCUCUGACGGUAUCUAACCAGAAAGACACGGCUAACUACGUG
rnacentral:rRNA from 1 species